rnacentral:lncRNA from 1 species
CAGACAUCAGCUCUGUGCUGGUGCCUAGGAAGAUCAAAUUUCUAGGUGGUGAUAUCCCCCGAAGUCUGGGGCUAUUUAAAGACAAUGUACCUACAUAUAUACUACACAGAUACUGUGAGGACACUUUCAGAGGAAGGCCAAGUUAAUAAAACAGAAGACUGUCUUGUAGAAGACUUCAACAACAUUACCACAGCAGGUGUGACUUGCCUUAAAAUAGCUUAAACUGUCUUUGUAGAAUUAACAGAAUGUAAAAACACACCUUAACAUCCAAAGUUACUAUAAAACAAUAUAGUUGGGAAGCAAUUCAAACACACUGAAUGCUAAAACAAAACAAAACAAAAAACCCUGUGUGACCUCUUCCCCACUGAUAUACCAUUUAAAGAGAUACAUAUUUAAAAGUCUAGACUACUCAUCUGAAAUACAGUGUCCACAAUAUGGAGACUUUGG